rnacentral:rRNA from 1 species
AUGGGCGCAAGCCUGAUGGAGCAAAACCGCGUGAGUGAAGAAGGGUUUCGGCUCGUAAAGCUCUGUUGUUAAAGAAGAACACGUAUGAGAGUAACUGUUCAUACGUUGACGGUAUUUAACCAGAAACUCACAACU